rnacentral:lncRNA from 1 species
GCCUCAGGCAGGAUCAGGGGUCACAGCCACACCUGCAGGACUGAGCAGGUGAAAACAAGUCAGGCUGUGAAAGAAAUCCCCCUUUUCUAAACUUUGCCUUGGAGUCCAUGACCUGAUGGGACAGGACUCAGACCUGGGGCAGGGAGGUCUGGGUUUUCCUCCAACCCUGUCACCUUUGUGAAGCUGAUUCUUUUCUGUGCCUCAGUGGCCUUGUCCGCAAUGCAGACUAAACCCCCUUUCACAGUCACCUUCCAGAACCCGAGUACACGUCACAAGCUCCCAGGCAUCCACAGGGGCACUGCACUUCACAGUUGAUGGAAAUGCUUCUCCUCCCUCAUCUCUGAGGAAAUGAAGGUCUGAUGGGAUUGAAAGCCAUCUACAGGUGGCCUUGCCACUUCUAAAUGAAAAAGGCGAAAAGUGGGAAGUUGCAUUCAGCGUGUGUUUUGCACGAAUGGUUGUAGAGGCAGCAAGAUGGGCCCGGCCAACUUCUUUCCUGGAACCACUCAGCAUCUCAGCAUCUCCACAUCUCAGCACCUCCGAAUCUCAGCAUCCAGCUCGAGCUGUGAACCACAUCUGUGGUGCAUCUGUGCUUUAUCUGGUUUAUUUCAUGGACCUAAGGUGACAAAACUAAUUACACUCAACACAUGUUCAUUCCGGGACCUGCUCUAGGUGCUAGGAAACAUCAGAGAGGACGUCACACAUACAGGUAAACACACACAUUGUAUAAUGUGCCCUCACCAUGUCGCACUGAAACUAUUGUACAGUCGGGUCUUCCUGCCUCUAAUUUCUCCCCAGUUCAAUUCAUCCUUCAUGGCCACCAUGUUGUGUUCCUAAAAAACAUAUAGAAUUAUGUAUAUAUUUCUGUAUAUAAUUACAUAUGCAUUUAUGUAUAUAAUUAAUUCAUGCAUUUAUC